rnacentral:snRNA from 1 species
UUUCUGCUUCUGCAUUUCUGCUU